rnacentral:rRNA from 1 species
AGCCAUUAGCCCAAACAAGUAUUAAAGGUAACGCCUGCCCAGUGAGAAACUUUUCUUAAACGGCCGCGAGACAACCGUGCGAAGGUAGCGAAAUCACUUGUCUCCUAAAUAGAGACCAGUAUGAAAGGCCGCAUGAGAAAGAAACUGUCUCUUGAAGGUAGCCAAUGAAACUGAUCUGUCUGUGCAAAAGCAGACAUAACACAACAAGACAAAAAGACCCUGUGAAACUUUAAAUACAAGCGCCAACCACAUGGCGACAUUUUUAGGUUGGGGCAACCAAAGAGAAACAAAACCUCUUCUACUUAUCAGACCAACAAGUCCAAUUAGAUAAACCAUGACCCAGUAAAACUGAUCAAUGAACUAAGCUACUCCAGGGAUAACAGCGCUAAAUUCUUAAAGAGUCCACAUCAACAAGAAUUCUUACGACCUCGAUGUUGGAUCAGGAUAUCCCAACAGUGCAAAAGCUGCUAGCGGUUCGUUUGUUCAACGAUUAAAAUCCU